CUUAGACUUCAUAUGAGUGACUCAGAGACUGUGUAAUACCUUCACCAAGUGGGUAAAGGAAAUCAUCAGUUCAACCCACUUCCUAACUACUAAGCAAAUUCUCUUGCCACUGAAAUUCCAGAAAUGCCUUCCGCACAGCACCAGAAGUUAGCUGGAGAGGUUAAACAGACAGAAUGAAAGUGUCCCUGACCAGUCAGGCCAGCUGUGCUUGGCCUGACUUGGCAGAAGUCACUUCAACUACUGCUGUUGCUUAGUGGGCAGAAGAGGACGAGGGCAAACAAAACCAAGGGGUCUGUGUUGACGUCAAUUGCCCACUGAAGGCCAUGCAGAUGUCCAUGGUCCGGGCUGCUGCCAGAUCUAUGCUGCCACUGAGAGCCAUGUCCAGGUCCACGAUCCUACACAGCUGAGUCUGUGUAGAUGCUGGUGGCCCAUGUUAUCAUCAAAGGCUUUAUGGAUAUCCGUGGUCUGGGCUGCCACCUGAAGCCAUUUGUUACAUAAGAACCUUGCUGCCAAAGGGGACCAUAUUAAUGUGAGUGGAUUGCAUGACUUCCUGAGGCCAUGGUGAUGUAUGGAUCCAUGCUGUUGCCUAGAGUCAUGUCCAGAACCAAGGUCCUACUGCCACUGGGGGCUGUGUGAUCUAUGCUGUCACUAGAAAACAUGUGGAAGCCCAUGACCAUACUGCUGCUGACUGUGAAGAGCUACUUUUGCAGUGAUGUCGAUCAAUGACUGCAGAUGCACAGUUGAGAGAGAGGACAUCCAAAGCUUCUGUGAUAGUCCCUUCCCCCAGCCUCCACUAAAGGAAAAGUUACAGCCUAGAUGGGAAGCCAUCAAGAAGAACUCUUAAAAGACAUAUCGAUAUGUGAAUUUUAGUUCUUCAUUAUUAAUUCCCAUGGAGCCAUCUGCUGAUGUUUAAAGGAUUUACCAAACUAGAAUGAAACUUCUUCUUAAAGGGCUCACAUCCAUCAAAAGGAACGAACAAUGGAUCAUUCCUCCACAACAGUAUCAGAG
rnacentral:lncRNA from 1 species